rnacentral:misc_RNA from 1 species
AUCUAAUUUAUUUUGACACAAGCAAACAUGUGUUCAAGAGAAAUCGUUUCCUUACAAAUUGGUCAUUAUUCCAAUUUCGUUGGAACACAUUGGUGGAACAUUCAGGAAUCAUCUUUCUUGUACAGUCCUUCCGAAGCACAGAUAAAAGACAAGGAGGUGAAUCAUGAUAUCUUAUGGCGAGAAGGAAAAACAUUCAAGGAGGAGGUAACAUUUACUCCAAGGCUAAUAGCAGUAGACCUUAAGGGCAGUCUUAUUACGUUGAAACAAGAAGGAAUCCUGUAUGAAACAAAUCAACAAGAUGAUAUCAAAUGGAGUGGUGAUAUUACACUUCACAAGGCAUCCCCUGCGGAGAAGAAUGAUUUUUUAUCAAACUUAGAUAAGGAGGAUCAAGCCAUUGUAGAAUGCAGGAAAAGGACAGAUACUGCUGAAGUAAUUGAUGAUGUGGAUGUAAAAGAUACAUUAUCCAGAACUGGGACUGGUGGGGGUCAACUUUAAGCAAAUAAAUCCGAUUCCCAAUUAGUGUUUGGAAAAGUCGACCAUGAUCUAGACAAUGUUGUGAAAGUGUGGUCUGAUUUUCUCAGAGUCUACCUUCAUCCAAAGACAAUCCAAAUCAUUGAACAGUACUACCAUUUAAAUUCUCUCCACCCAUUUGAUAUUUACGGAGCUGGUAUCAAAGCUAUAGACGAUUAUGAGACAAAGUCGGAGAUGGAAGACAGAAUUCAUCAUUUCUGUGAGGAGUGUGACAGUCUGCAGGGUUUUCAUGUCUUGGUGGACACACAUGAUGGUUUUGGUGGUGUAGGGGCCCAGACUUUACAACAUCUUGCUGAUGAAUACACAUCUAAGUCUGUGAUGACUUUUGGAUUUACACCUGCAAAUCUUCCAGAUGAUACACCUGUGAGUAGAGCUAAUCGGAUCCUGAACUCCGCACUAAGCUAUCAAAAAUGCUUUACACACAGUUCCUUAUUUUUCCCUUUGUCCUUGGCAAACAGUUUGUGGAAAACCCUUGGAAAUUAUGCAGAUUUUCCCCAACUUGAUUUCAAAAUGAUUGACUACCACACCAGUGCUAUACUAGCAGCCACACUCGACACCGCCUCUCUACCUUAUAGAACGGAUAAUCCUAUACACAUGUGUGAUAUUACUGACAACUUUCAAAGUUUUGGUAGGAAGGUGGGAUCUAUGAGCUCAGCCCUACCUAUCUGUAUGGAGGCAGAUUCUAACUUCCUGGAUGUGGUCCAGGACCUGCAGGGUAGCCUGCCCUGGCUCUCACUCACACCUCAUUGUACAAACCAGUCCACCCCUUUCAUGCAGUCUGUUGUGGUCAGGGGUAUUCCAGAGACCACACCAAGAAGUCCCAGAGGUAUCUACAGUUCUUGUAGAUCUGUUAAUGACACAUUACAGGUUUACCUUACAGAAAACUUCAACUCUUGUCUCAAUGCUGGGACUGUAAUAAAUACUCCAUGCAAAGUUAAUACACCAUUCCCACACAUCUUUAAAAAGAAUGUCAACAAAUUUGGACUUGUAUCAACAACUGAAAGAUCUAGGUUUCAAGGUGUUGAGACGGUCCCUAUGAUGACUAGUAUGCAGUCUAGUCCUGAUACUGCGGUACUUCUAAAUACCUUGUACUCCGAUGCCAAGAAACUGAACAUUAGAAAACACACACGAUUCCUUGAGGCAGGUCUCGAAGAAGAUGAUUAUCAAGAAAUACUACAGGACUUUGUCAGUCUAGAGAAAUGCUACUCGCCAAGAAGUGACAUGGAUUGAUACUUAUAAAUGAACAUUAUGAUGUGAUCUAUUUAUUGAGGAGGAACCAAUUCCACUGUUAUGCAUCUAAAUGCUUGAUUUUAAUGCAUCUAACAGAGACAGAAUAUUUCUUUAAAAAUGAUUUGAAUGCAUUAAAAUUAUCAUGGAAUGUUCCUUUUACAUGCAAGAAAUCAGUUUUGAAAAUGUGCCAAAUUUUUCUGUAAAUAAAUGGUUAUAAAAAUAUAUUUUUCUACUUAGAAGUACAAAAUUUGAAAGUUUUGCGUUGUAAAACAUAAAAUACUUGGUUUGUACUAGAUGUAAUACCGGUAGAUAAAAUUCCAAAAAUUUGUGUACAUUUUAGUUGAAUGUAUGAAGUAGUUAUUGGCACCAUGCAUUCAUCAGAAGAUUAUUUUACCAGAUCAUAUGUGGUCCAUCAACAAGCACACAUUGCUGUAAUACAAAUAAUGCACUUUAUUUAUUGGUACUUGUACCAUUUUGUUUCUCUAAUAGAUAUUGACCACUUCUAUUUUUCGCUCAAAUCCAUUUUAAAUCUGGUCUAAGGCAUACUAGAUAUUGACUUCUUCAAAAUGUAAAAAAAAAAUUUGGUUCCCAUGCGUAUCAUUUUGUGCGAUACAAAGAAACAUUUCAAAUUUGUCAGUAAAAUUUACAACCAUGAAAUUUAUAUAUUUGCCUUGGUAUGGUGAACUGUGGUAGGUUGACAUUGGAGCAUGUUUUAAGCAAUAAAGUUAUAGAAACAUUGGUCUUUUGCACUUCGAUCAAAGCCUACAUACAACAAUUUCUAAAUAAAAAAGGGUCAAAAUUUGACAAAAGAGGAACUCCCAUAACGAUGGUUCAUGAUUUUGCAUUAAUUCAAUCUCACUGUUAGGGAUCAGAAUUAAAAUGAUAGUUAUCCUGUAUUUUUCUAUUCUAUUUGUAGUUUAUAUGUCAGGAUCAACUUUCACAUAGUCCAAAAAACAUUUAAACAAAAAAUAUUCAUUAACAAAAUGAUUCAUUUACCAAGUUUUGAUUUAAGGUUCUCUGAUCAAAGGUUUUUUUUUUCAUCAUAAAAAUGUUAUUUAUCCUUCAAACUUCAUAAAUGAAAUAAAAUAAAAAGAAGUUUCUU